AACCUUAUUCCAAGUUCCCGAGCGCCCUAGGCCUCUUUCUCCUCCCUGCCUAACUGGUGAGGUGGGACUUCAAUGCCUUUUAGGUUUACAGUCUUUUCCUCCCCACGGCUUCUCUUUCCUCCCCGUCUCAGGCACUGGGCAUUUCCAGUCGAUCCAGCAGGUCUGGCUUCUCUCACAUAUGCAGUAAGGGUUAGGGGAGAAGGUCCCAGCUCCUCUUGUCUCUAGCAGAGUGUAAACUGGCUCUGCUGAGGAGGUGGCUGUGCUUUUAUUCCUUCUCCUGAGAACUGUUUAUAUAUUAAGGAGCUUCACAGCCUCCAACAUAAGGAAAGCAGGCCUCAAACUUCUUCAUGGGAAAAGAUGGCUUCUCUUUUUUAAUUGAAUGAACUAGAAGAAGUUCAUUGUUAUUCAUCAACUUCAAAGAGACUAUAUGAGGCCCCUUGGCCAGGACUACAGAGCAGUAUUUUUUAAUCAGAAAUUAUAGCCAAAAAGAAGAGACCAGAACACAUGGGUCUCCAGCGUACCAGGAUUUGUGAAGGCCUGAAGUUCGUAGAAUGAAAUCUAUGUGGAGAUGAUUUAAAAGAACGGUUUCACUGCUAAAAUCCUUUCGAAAUGAGUUCCUUUAAGUUCUUCAGUAACUAAAUCCUCCAGAAAGGAAAGCCGAGAGAAUCUAGUCCUAUACAAUAACACCCUCUAACAAAGAUCGCUAAAGGAAGAUUUUAGUAGAUGAAUAUCUUCAAUAAUACAUGGUCACAUACAUGUAUCUGACCAUAUGAUGGCUCUCUGCACCAAAUUCCUCCAAACUAUUAUAAUAUGUAUUGUCUGUAGUGCUAUUUAUUUGGCAGUUAAUCAUGUAUUACAUUGUGACAUUUCUUACAGUGAACCAUUAUGUAUGUGUUUAUGUUCUGCCCUCAACUACUCAAUGCCAGUACCUUAUUCUUAACACAGCAACCACCCUUUCUGGUCUGUCCUCACACCCUCAUUCCCAUCAUAGUUAUUCUCCUCUCUCAUGGAAAUGUUCAGUUUCUGGACAUCUCCUUUCUCUUCCAUUCUUCACCUGACCUUCCUUCCUUUCUUGGCCAGCCUGAAUAUUAUAAAGGGAAUUUUAUUUCAAACCCAGGAUCGCACUUAAGAGGAAAAGAAACAAAAGCCAGUUCUUUUUAUUGCACAUAGAACAAGGAGAAACUCCACCCCUUUUGUUGUCUGGUAUGUUUAAAACAAGAAAGAACUUUAGAAAAGUAGGAUAUGAGUGAAAAUUACAACCAAUGUUGAGAACUACUUUUUAAUUUUUUAUUACAAAAUUAGGAUGAUACUUCAUUAAACAUUGUACAUCAUUUCAAAACUGUUAUCUCAUAAUCAUGUUGCUUGUUUUGAAUUAUUCUUUUAAAGUGUAAUUUUUUUAAGCAAAGAAUCCAUAAAAUUACAUGGCUUGGAUGUACCAUAACUUACUUAAUCCUUAUGCUAUUGUUUAAUAUGUGGGUUGUUUCAGAUUUUUCAUGAUUGUAAAUAACAAAAUAAACUUCCUUAUACUUAA
ensembl:lncRNA LNCRNA-IUR lncRNA imatinib upregulated